AUUGAACGCUGGCGGCAGGCCUAACACAUGCAAGUCGAGCGGAUGAAGGGAGCUUGCUCCUGGAUUCAGCGGCGGACGGGUGAGUAAUGCCUAGGAAUCUGCCUGGUAGUGGGGGAUAACGUCCGGAAACGGGCGCUAAUACCGCAUACGUCCUGAGGGAGAAAGUGGGGGAUCUUCGGACCUCACGCUAUCAGAUGAGCCUAGGUCGGAUUAGCUAGUUGGUGGGGUAAAGGCCUACCAAGGCGACGAUCCGUAACUGGUCUGAGAGGAUGAUCAGUCACACGGGAAAUGAGACACGGGCCAGACUCGUACGGGAGGCAGCAGUGGGGAAUAUUGGACAAUGGGCGAAAGCCUGUUCCAGCCAUGCCGCGAGUGUGAAGAAGGUCUUCGGAUUGUAAAGCACUUUAAGUUGGGAGGAAGGGCAGUAAGUUAAUACCUUGCUGUUUUGACGUUACCAACAGAAGAAGCACCGGCUAACUUCGU
rnacentral:rRNA from 1 species